rnacentral:rRNA from 1 species
AGCGAACGCUGGCGGCAUGCUUAACACAUGCAAGUCGCGCGGUCAGCAAUGGCAGCGGCGGACGGGUGAGUAACGCGUAGGAAUGUGUCUAGAGGUGGGGGACAACCCUGGGAAACUGGGGCUAAUACCGCAUAUGUCCUGAGGGACAAAGCAGCGAUGCGCCUUUAGAGCAGCCUGCGUCCGAUUAGGUAGUUGGUGGGGUAAUGGCCUACCAAGCCUGCGAUCGGUAGCUGGUCUGAGAGGACGACCAGCCACACUGGGACUGAGACACGGCCCAGACGCCUACGGGAGGCAGCAGUGGGGAAUAUUGGACAAUGGGCGCAAGCCUGAUCCAGCAAUGCCGCGUGUGUGAAGAAGGUCUUCGGAUUGUAAAGCACUUUCGACGGGGACGAUGAUGACGGUACCCGUAGAAGAAGCCCCGGCUAACUUCGUGCCAGCAGCCGCCGUAACAC